rnacentral:rRNA from 1 species
GUUGACCUCGGAUCAGGUAGGAAUACCCGCUGAACUUAAGCAUAUCAAUAAGCGGAGGAAAAGAAACCAACAGGGAUUGCCCCAGUAACGGCGAGUGAAGCGGCAACAGCUCAAAUUUGAAAUCUGGCCCCCAGGGCCCGAGUUGUAAUUUGCAGAGGAUGCUUUUGGCGCGGCGCCUUCCGAGUUCCCUGGAACGGGACGCCAUAGAGGGUGAGAGCCCCGUCUGGUCGGACGCCAAGCCAGUGUAAAGCUCCUUCGACGAGUCGAGUAGUUUGGGAAUGCUGCUCUAAAUGGGAGGUAUAUGUCUUCUAAAGCUAAAUAUAGGCCAGAGACCGAUAGCGCACAAGUAGAGUGAUCGAAAGAUGAAAAGCACUUUGAAAAGAGGGUUAAACAGUACGUGAAAUUGUUGAAAGGGAAGCACUUGUGACCAGACUUGGGCCCGGUGAAUCAUCCAGCGUUCUCGCUGGUGCACUUCGCCGGGCCCAGGCCAGCAUCAGUUCGCCGCGGGGGAUAAAAGCUUCGGGAACGUAGCUCCCUCGGGAGUGUUAUAGCCCGUUGCAUAAUACCCUGCGGUGGACUGAGGUUCGCGCUCCGCAAGGAUGCUGGCGUAAUGGUCACCAGUGACCCGUCUUGAAACACGGACCAAGGAGUCGUCUUCGUAUGCGAGUGUUCGGGUGUCAAACCCCUACGCGUAAUGAAAGUGAACGCAGGUGAGAGCUUCGGCGCAUCAUCGACCGAUCCUGAUGUUCUCGGAUGGAUUUGAGUAAGAGCAUACGGGGCCGGACCCGAAAGAAGGUGAACUAUGCCUGUAUAGGGUGAAGCCAGAGGAAACUCUGGUGGAGGCUCGCAGCGGUUCUGACGUGCAAAUCGAUCGUCAAAUAUGGGCAUGGGGGCGAAAGACUAAUCGAACCUUCUAGUAGCUGGUUUCCGCCGAAGUUUCCCUCAGGAUAGCAGUGUUGAA